UUGUCCAAUUCUAUUCAUCGCAAGUUUUUACAGAAGCAAUUUUCAUGGAUUAAUAUGAAUACUACCAACGAAAUAUGGGAAGUGGCUCUGUGCAAGGUGAUUCCAAGAAGUUAGUUAAGCUGUCACCGCUCAAAUUUUUUUCUACAAUAAGUAUAAGUGCAUCUAAAUGAACUCCCCUACUGUUCCUAGCUUGAGGUUUCAUACCAUAUCUCAAAUGUGCCUUUCCUCCGUCAUUUUCAGUUUCACAAACAUAAACUUACUACAUAGUUGUUGCUCACUAACAAACCUGAAUUAUCCUCGUUUUUCAAUUUCUGUUCUUUUGUAGUUCAAAUCUUUGCUCAAGACAAGUUGACUAUCUAUCUUGAUGUUCUUUAUGGCCUCCAUUUUUGGUGCUCGAGAUACUUUUAAUUAGUCACAUAUAUUCUUCCCAUUGCCAUUUUUCUUGUAUUUUCGUCUUCCUUUCCUUGGAGUUGAGGAAAAAGCAAGAAAUAAGGGCAGGUGAAAGAGACGUGGUUGCUGGCAUGUUUACUCUGCCAACUGCUAACCAGUCAUGGAGGAAAGUAUUGAGCAUGGGUAAUCUCCUUUACGGGCAUGAACCAAUUUUAAGGGAAAUAACAUUUCCAAACGUGAUCGAGUGAGCAAAAGUUAUUAUUCCGACUCUGCUUCUAAGUUUUAUCGAUGAAAUAUAAAAAUACAGAAUAUAUGUAUGCGAAACUUCAAAUGAUCUUAGGGUAGCACUUGUAGUUGCCUCUUGUGACUGAUAAUAUUCUCUUGAAACGCGUAUGUAUGUAGGUAUAUACAUAUUAUUCUUGCUUCUGCUGCGAAUAUAUUCAUGAAUUCAAAUCUUAACUGGAGAAAUAGAUUUAUGAGAUGGAACAAUUUAUUAUUUAGAAAAAUAUUAUUUAAAUAAUUCAUUUUUCGAAUUUUAAGUACUAACAUGUUCUUCUCCAAUACAUUUGAUAACGAAGAGUGACUGUUUAUAGAUCGUGAUGGUUCUGAGGGUGUGGAAGAAAAAUUGUAAGGUAAAUGUGUCACCAGACAUUCGUCGCCUUGCUUAAUGUCCCUUGUGGGACUCGUCCCUAGUUGUUGAUGUACUGAAUAAUCAGAGUCGCGAUCAAAAUUAAUGGAGUGAAUGGUGGUUGGUCGAUCAAGGUUUAAGGACAUUGGGGCACACACUAUUCUAAUUCGAUCAUUCAUGUUGCCUUGAUUGGAUUGAUUAUCCACUGCGUUAGAUCCCCAUGUGUUGAUUGCACCAUUUUGGAACUGUACUAAGUAUCAGAAAUGAUAUUGUUCUGUCCAGACUCUUCGUCUUACGUAGAGGAACAAGGUGUCAUCAGUCAGUACUAUUUGGGGUUAUCUUCCUCAUUUGACUUCCAGCCUGAGACCAAGUUUUUGAAGAGAAAAAAAAAAUAUAUGCAAAG
rnacentral:lncRNA from 1 species